AACUAACGCUGGCGGCGUGCCUAACACAUGCAAGUCGUACGAGAAAGUUGGCUUCGGCCGAUGAGUAAAGUGGCGCACGGGUGAGUAACGCGUGGAUAAUCUGCCCUUUAGUGUGGAAUAACGUACCGAAAGGUGCGCUAAUACCGCAUAACGCUAAGUGACUACUGUCGCUUAGCCAAAGAAGGCCUCUGUUUACAAGCUUUUGCUGAAGGAUGAGUCCGCGUACCAUUAGCUAGUUGGUAGGGUAAUGGCCUACUAAGGCGACGAUGGUUAGCUGGGCUGGAAGGAUGGUCAGCCAAACUGGAGCUGAGACACGGUCCAGACUCCUACGGGAGGCAGCAGUGAGGAAUAUUGCGCAAUGGGGGCAACCCUGACGCAGCAACGCCGCGUGAGUGAGGAAGGUUUUCGGACCGUAAAGCUCUGUCGAGCGGGAAGAAGUGUAUGGUGGCUAAUAUCCAUCAUACUUGACGGUACCGCUAGAGGAAGCACCGGCUAACUCCGUGCCAGCCGCCGCGGUAAGAC
rnacentral:rRNA from 1 species